GGGGGUAUAGCUCAGUGGUAGAGCAUUUGACUGCAGAUCAAGAGGUCCCAGGUUCAAAUCCUGAUGCACGCA
rnacentral:tRNA from 1 species